rnacentral:rRNA from 1 species
AGUCGAGCGGAGAGAGGUAGCUUGCUACUGAUCUUAGCGGCGGACGGGUGAGUAAUGCUUAGGAAUCUGCCUAUUAGUGGGGGACAACAUUUCGAAAGGAAUGCUAAUACCGCAUACGUCCUACGGGAGAAAGCAGGGGAUCUUCGGACCUUGCGCUAAUAGAUGAGCCUAAGUCGGAUUAGCUAGUUGGUGGGGUAAAGGCCUACCAAGGCGACGAUCUGUAGCGGGUCUGAGAGGAUGAUCCGCCACACUGGGACUGAGACACGGCCCAGACUCCUACGGGAGGCAGCAGUGGGGAAUAUUGGACAAUGGGCGCAAGCCUGAUCCAGCCAUGCCGCGUGUGUGAAGAAGGCCUUAUGGUUGUAAAGCACUUUAAGCGAGGAGGAGGCUACUUUAGUUAAUACCUAGAGAUAGUGGACGUUACUCGCAGAAUAAGCACCGGCUAACUCUGUGCCAGCAGCCGCGGUAAUACAGAGGGUGCAAGCGUUAAUCGGAUUUACUGGGCGUAAAGCGCGCGUAGGCGGCUAAUUAAGUCAAAUGUGAAAUCCCCGAGCUUAACUUGGGAAUGCAUUCGAUACUGGUUAGCUAGAGU